rnacentral:tRNA from 1 species
GCCGAUGUGGCUCAAUGGUAGAGCAAGGGUUUUGUAAACCCUGGGUUGGGGGUUCGAUUCCCUCCAUCGGCUCCA